UGCCAAUCAAGACACAGCAUGGACAUGAGGGCUCCUGCUCAGCUCCUGGGCCUCCUGCUGCUCUGGCUCCCAGGUGCCAGCUGUGCUGUUCAGAUCACCCAGUCACCAUCUGUGGUGUCUGCACCUGUGGGAGGCACAGUCACCUUCAAUUGCCAGCCAAGUCAAAGUGUUUACAACAACAAUUAUCUAAACUGGUACCAGCAGAAAUCAGGACAGCGACCUAAGCCCUUGAUCUAUGCUGCAUCCAAAUUAGAGUCUGGGGUCCCUGACAGGUUCAAGGGCAGUGGAUCUGGGAAAUCAUUCACUCUCACCAUCAGCCCGGUGCAGGCUGAGGACGCAGGAACCUACUACUGUUUUGGAGAGUAUGAUGAUGAUAAUGAUACCACAGCAAUACAAGCCCUAAUAAAAACCUCCCAGGAAAGCAGAAGUGCGAGUUUGGCUCCCUCAGCUGCUCCUCCUGGGGCCUCUAUCUGCUGA